AAAACACUUCCUAUGUUACAAAAAAAAACACAAAACACUCCUUCGUUGUCACUGAGUCUGCGUCAUCACCGUUUCUUCACCGCCGUUUCCAUCACCGUCGUUUCCAUCACCUUCGUUUCCUUCUCCGACCAUAACCCUAACUGUUUUCUUCAUCACAGUUUCCUAUCACGCCUAAUCUACUCAUUUUCUUCAUCAACCCUAAUCCCUAAAUCGUUUUCUUCAUUCCUUAAAUCGCAAAAUCGCAAACUGGUUCGUUGCUCUCAUUUCAAAACAAGAUGAUGAAUGGGGUUUGGAUGAGUAUAUCUGCUUCAUACAUUUAGCUAGUUUUCUUGUGAUCUUAAUUUCAUCGAUCAUCUAGUGACAUUGGAUGGAAAGAACACCAGUGUGCGAGGCCGAUAAUUGUUGAUCCGGGGUAGUACAUGAACAAGAAGUAAGAUGUGUUUUGGGUUACAUAGAGGAGAAGUAAACCAGCUGCUUUCAAACUUUUCACAGGUAAUUGAAUAAGAAGAAUCAAGAAAUGAUUAAGGAUCAUGAAGCAACAUAACAUACUAGGGAUUAGUUUUUUUCCUUUUAGAGUUUCAAGUUAUUUAAUUAAAUUUUUUAUGUAUGGAUGUUGUCACUAUUGAAUUAAUUAUAUGAAUGAGAUUAAGUUAUUUAUAUACAUGUGCAUUUUAAUUCUCGUAA